UAAUCCAUAGGCACCUGAUGAACACAUUA
rnacentral:piRNA from 1 species